GUAAACAGUCGCGCAUGCUCGCGUGCAAGAUGUCUGCCGGCCGCGACGCCUCAUUACGUUGAUCAAUUCACCUUCCUGGAUUGAUUAACUCCGGUUCACGACGAAAGCUCAAAAGAAGGAAGUGGGACAACAAAUAAAGCCAUGAUGAUCCUGGAAAAAAAAACCCCGCCAAGGUCGUCAGGUGGUGACCCCGUGGGAAGGCGGGCCCACGUUGUCAUUUCGGACUGAGCCUUGGCGGGCCUCAUGGGUGGGUGCAGGCCUCCGAGCCCCAACUCCAGCCAAAGUUAAGUCAGCAUUUCAUAAAAUUUUAAUAUAUUCCAUUUUUUAAAAAAACUCUAAAAAUGAUUUAUGAAUGAAUUUGUGAUAGAGAACGAUAUCCAAGUAUUUUGUGAUCACCAAGAGGCCUUUAAUUCAGUUGCAUAAUUUUCCUGUGUCAAUCUAACAUGCAAAGUACAAACCAACAAUUCAUAUCCCAACAUACCUCGAUUAGAACGGACAUGAGGCGGGAAUACGUGACACCACCACCACCGCCAUCAUCAUCAACUUUGCGUGUUUGUGGCCCAACAACGUCCAGGCUUACGUAAGCCCCCGACGGACGG